GUCUUCGGACAUUUGGUCAAUUUGAAACGAUACAGAGAAGAUUAGCAUGGCCCCUGCACUAAGGAUGACACGCUCAAUCAAAGAGAAGCUACCAUUUUUU
rnacentral:snRNA from 1 species